AGAUAAAGGGAGAAAGAGAGAAAGAGAGAGAGCGACGAUCGGGAACAGGAGGAAGAAGACGGUCGUGUGGGGAAGCCAAGAGAGAGAAAAGAGAGAGGAAUGAAGAGAGAGGCCGAAAAGGAAGAGAGGAAAGGAAAAAGAAAUGAGAGAAAAGGGAAGAGAAAGAGGGUGGCCGAGCGGAAAGAAGGGAAGCCGAGAACGGUCGCGCAAGGGGAGAAGAGAGAAAAAGAAUCGUGGAGGAGAAAGAAGAAGAAAAGGAAUCACGACCGAGGAGCACUGUGUGAUGGCAAAAUCCAAAGCCGAGCUGCACACGUUGAUGUCCAAAAAAUCGGUUUGAAAAAUCACAUCCGAGUCUCAACCAAGCUAGGGAGCCGUGGGGGUGGCUGAGAGGAGACAAUUGGGAGCCAAGCCAAGGCCGAAUCACUCGCAUCGAAGAGAAGAAUGAAGAGCUAGCACCGCUGCUAAAUGAGUAAAAACUGUAAAGGGUUCUUGUUUUUAUAUAUUUUGUGUAUAUUCGAAAAGUUUUAUUUUGUUAUGUUAAACUCUAAAUUAUGACCUCAUGUUUUGUAUAUAUAAUUAUCGUAUAUAUCAC